CAGUGGUGCGUGCUCUACACGCCUCGCCGAAGGUCUACCAUUCCGGAUGGAUCUCCGCCUCUUCACCUGUCGCCCGCUCAUUCCUCCCGGCUACUCCCUCGCCCGCCUUACUCGUCCGCAUUGCCGCCUCGCUUCCUUCUCGCCUCUCUCCGUUGUCGCCGCAUCAAGGAUUCAAAUCAAAGCCAGUCCUCGCGAUCUUCCGCAGCGCGCUGCGGCCGCAAGAAGCGAUCCCCAAGGUAACGAGAUCGUCGAUGGUGUCUCAAUGCUUUGCGAGGGUGAUAGUGUUGAGACGGAUGUACCUGAAGUCGAAAUUCUUCGGGCAGAGGCGGAGGACGAGAAAUCGGAGUCCCCUAACAUUUUAAAGCAAAUGAAGGAUAUCGUAAUGUUUGCUGGGCCGGCGACAGGGCUCUGGAUUUGCGGUCCGUUGAUGAGUCUCAUCGAUACAAUGGUCAUAGGCCAGGGAAGCUCCUUGGAGCUCGCUGCGCUUGGGCCGGGGACAGUGUUUUGCGAUUACCUGUGCUACGUGUUCAUGUUUCUGUCGAUUGCCACUUCCAACAUGGUUGCCACCUCACUUGCUAAGAAGGAUAGAAAAAUAGUACAACAUCAGAUAUCUAUGCUACUUUUUGUGGCUUUUGCUUGUGGGCUCGGAAUGUUUCUGUUUACAAAGUUGAUGGGCACACAGAUACUAUCUGCUUUUGUUGGAUCAGAAAAUCUGCACAUGGUUCCUGCUGCUGAUUCAUAUGUUCAGAUUAGAAGCUUUGCUUGGCCUGCAGUUCUUGUUGGCAUGGUUGCACAGAGUGCCAGUUUGGGCAUGAAAGAUUCUUGGGGGCCUUUGAAGGCUUUGAUAGUAGCUAGUGCAGUGAAUGGUUUUGGAGAUUUUUUUCUUUGUUCUGUUUGUGGGUAUGGCAUUGCUGGAGCUGCAUGGGCGACAAUGUUAUCACAGGUUAUUGCUGCUUUUAUGAUGCUGGAAACCCUUAACAAGUCUGGUUAUAGUGCUUUUUUAGUAUGCAUUCCUUCACUUGGAGAAUUGCUCCAAAUACUAGCUAUUGCUGCUCCAGUUUUCAUAACAAUGACUUCAAAGGUUGCUUUCUAUUCUCUAAUCACCUAUUCUGCUACAUCAAUGGGGACAAUCACACUAGCAGCUCAUCAGGUUAUGGUUAAUGUCUUUUGCAUGUUCACUGUUUGGGGUGAACCUCUCUCACAAACUGCACAGUCGUUCAUGCCAGAGUUGAUCCAUGGAGUGAAUCGCAGUUUACAGAAGGCACGGAUGUUACUCAAAUCACUCACUAUGAUUGGAGUAAUAAUUGGAUUGACGUUGGGAGCUGUUGGAACUUCUAUCCCAUGGCUUUUGCCUCACUGUUUUACAACUGAUGAAAUGGUCAUUGGUGAGAUGCAUAAGAUCCUGCUUCCUUACUUCCUCGCAUUAGUGGUGACACCUUCAAUACAUAGUCUUGAAGGAACAUUGCUGGCUGGUAGAGAUCUCAGGUUUUUGAGUCUGUCAAUGAGUGGUUGUUUUUGUUCAGCUGGACUUAUCUUGUUGGUAUGAGAUUUUCAAAUAUUGAUGCCUCCUUAGAUUAUUGUUUUCACCAACGACCCUCUGGUGUUCCAGUUCUUUCCUAUAUCUAUAUACUUCUGAUCUCAUAUUAGAAUAUCUUGUCCAUGCUUCAAAUGGUUGCAUAUUUGUGCUUGUUCACCAUUUUUUUUAAAGACACUUAUUCUCUUUACCACUUAACUUUGCCUGUAGUCGUUCUACAAAGAGACUUAUUCAGUGUUGGAUUAUGUUCUUCUAAUGAGCAUGAAGUCUACAUUAAGCAAUGAACUUGAACAUGCUAUAGUUUUGCACGACCAAAUUAGACAACUUCAUUUCAGUCUCUGUUCAAGGUUUUAUGUUGAUACACAAAAGCACUGUGGAUAUUAUACAUAGCAUAAAUUGUAAAUUUAAACUAGUUUAUGAUGAAAAAUAUAAAUUCAUGUAGGAUUUCAGUGCAAGAUUUUAGAUCUUAGCCAUUUAACUUUGGUAAGAAAUGAAAUUGUAAGAAGAAAGUUAUUCAACAACUAGGUUAAUAUCUCGAGUCAUUUUGUGAACUUCCGUGUGGGUCAUCAUCAUGUUUCCUUCUUCCAUGCUAUCCUAGCAUUUGGCAGUAUUGUCAUGUUCUGAAAGCUAUCUUAUGGACUAUGUAUGAAAUGUGCCUCCCUGUGUUCUUGUGUGCUAGCUGCCUUAUGUGUUUUUUUCAUCAGCUUGUAAGCAGUACAGGCUUUGGUUUGCCAGGCUGCUGGUGGGCCCUUGUUGCAUUUCAAUGGGCCCGCUUUACACUUGCAUUACAAAGACUACUGUCUCCACGAGGCAUGUUGUACAACGAAGGUAAUGACCCAAAUGAACUGGUGAAGUUGAAAGCUACAUAGAAUCGUGCAUGCAACCUCAGACAGGACGUCAAACCUCCUGCUGGUUCCCCAAAUUAUAUAUCGUAUGGUAAUUGUUUUACUGGAACCGAAGUGUGUUUCUUGCACAUUAAGAAUGAUUUUUCCGGCUGUAUAUUACUCGAACUUCUUCAGAUGUGGUCAAGUUAAUAUUAUUUAUUUACAGGGCUGCCCGUCCCUAAUUAAGAAGAAUGUUUCCUUGUUUAUCUUCAAUUGUAUUGAAGAAGAAAAUUACCAAAUAAUCUUGCUUA